rnacentral:tRNA from 1 species
CAAAUUAAAGCUUGGAAGUAUUUUAUUUACAUUAAAAAGAUUAUUGAUAAAACAAUAUAAUUUGA